GUUGUCGUAGCUCAAAGGUAGAGCGAGCAGCUGUUAACUGCCAGACCCUGGUUCAAUUCCAGGCGAUGACU
rnacentral:tRNA from 1 species